rnacentral:rRNA from 1 species
GAUGAACGCUGGCGGGGUGCCUAAUACAUGCAAGUCGAGCGAACAGACGAGGAGCUUGCUCCUCUGACGUUAGCGGCGGACGGGUGAGUAACACGUGGAUAACCUACCUAUAAGACUGGGAUAACUUCGGGAAACCGGAGCUAAUACCGGAUAAUAUAUUGAACCGCAUGGUUCAAUAGUGAAAGACGGUUUUGCUGUCACUUAUAGAUGGAUCCGCGCCGCAUUAGCUAGUUGGUAAGGUAACGGCUUACCAAGGCAACGAUGCGUAGCCGACCUGAGAGGGUGAUCGGCCACACUGGAACUGAGACACGGUCCAGACUCCUACGGGAGGCAGCAGUAGGAAAUCUUCCGCAAUGGGCGAAAGCCUGACGGAGCAACGCCGCGUGAGUGAUGAAGGUCUUCGGAUCGUAAAACUCUGUUAUUAGGGAAGAACAAAUGUGUAAGUAACUAUGCACGUCUUGACGGUACCUAAUCAGAAAGCCACGGCUAACUACGUG